GAUGAACGCUAGCUACAGGCUUAACACAUGCAAGUCGCGGGGCAGCAUGGGGGUUGCUUGCAAUCCCCGAUGGCGACCGGCGCACGGGUGAGUAACGCGUAUCCAACCUGCCCUUCACCACGGGAUAACCCGGCGAAAGUCGGACUAAUACCGUAUGUUGUCCAUUGACGGCAUCCGAUUUGGACGAAAGGUUUGGCGGUGAAGGCUGGGGAUGCGUCCGAUUAGCUGGACGGCGGGGUGACGGCCCACCGGGGCGACGAUCGGUAGGGGUUCUGAGAGGAAGGUCCCCCACACUGGAACUGAGACACGGUCCAGACUCCUACGGGAGGCAGCAGUGAGGAAUAUUGGUCAAUGGGCGUAAGCCUGAACCAGCCAAGUAGCGUGCAGGAUGACGGCCCUAUGGGCUGUAAACUGCUUUUAUGCGGGGAUAAAGUGGCCCACGUGUGGGUUUUUGCAGGUACCGCAUGAAUAAGGACCGGCUAAUUCCGUG
rnacentral:rRNA from 1 species